rnacentral:rRNA from 1 species
ACCUAACAGCUAGCCCGUUAUUAAAAUACAACAAUUCAAUAUAAAUUAACCCCAAAUACACUAAAAUCAAAUAAACAAAUCAUUUUUCCACCUUAGUAUGGGCGACAGAAAAGGUAAGUAGGAGCAAUAGAGAAAGUACCGCAAGGGAACGCUGAAAGAGAAAUGAAAUAAAUCAGUAAAGUAUAAAAAAGCAGAGAUUAACACU